UGGUUGGUAGGAUGUGACCCAUGAGCCAUAGUUUGCCAACCCCUAUUGUAACCACACUGAGCAAAAAAACCUAGAGGGACUACUUCUUUCUAUAAAGUUAGUAUUAUCUGGAUAUCAAACCAGAGAAAGAUAUAGUAAGAAAAAAAAUUACAGAACAGUAUCUCUCAUGAACACCAAUAUAAAAAUUAUAAAAAAUUUUAGCAAACCAAACCCAACCAUAUGUAAUGUAGAUAGUAAAUCAUGGUUAAUCAAGGUUUAUCCUAGAAAUCCAAGAUUGGCUUAGCAUUAAAAAAUAAAUCAAUGUAAUUCUUCCUAUAGACGAAAUAUAAAAAGAGAGGAAAUUCUAAAAUUCCAUUCCUGAGAUUAGUAUAAGAUUGAUAUAGAAGUAGACAAGGAUAACAAACAAAUUAAAGACUAAUUCAAAUCAAGUGUAGAAAAUGAAGAAACAAAUGUUAUUCAGAUAAUAUAAACUUUAAUACAGAAAAUCCAAGAUAAUCUACAAAUCGUACUAAUAAAGAUCAGGAACAUCACUAUAUACAAUAUCAAUGUACAGAAAUUAAAGUCUCUAUACAACAACAACCACAAAUUACUAAAUGUGUUUUUUAAAAUAUCACAUUUACAACAGUAACAGCAGAAUCAUAAUCUUUCAAGGAAUAAAUCUAACAAAGAGCAACAUACCUCAUACAUUAAAAAAUUAUAAAUUUUCUGAAGAAGUAGUUGUUUCCCAAAUUGAUCUAUAAAUUAAAUACAAUUCUAAUAAAAAUUCCAAAAGGA
rnacentral:lncRNA from 1 species